rnacentral:rRNA from 1 species
CCAGAGUUUGAUCAUGGCUCAGGACGAACGCUGGCGGCGUGCUUAACACAUGCAAGUCGAACGGUGAUGAGGAGCUUGCUUCUCUGAUCAGUGGCGAACGGGUGAGUAACACGUGAGCAAUCUGCCCUUGACUCUGGGAUAAGCGUUGGAAACGACGUAUAAUACCGGAUACGACCUUUGGAGGCAUCUCUGGGGGUGGAAAGAAUUUUGGUCAAGGAUGAGCUCGCGGCCUAUCAGCUAGUUGGUGAGGUAAUGGCUCACCAAGGCGACGACGGGUAGCCGGCCUGAGAGGGUGACCGGCCACACUGGGACUGAGACACGGCCCAGACUCCUACGGGAGGCAGCAGUGGGGAAUAUUGCACAAUGGGCGAAAGCCUGAUGCAGCAACGCCGCGUGAGGGACGACGGCCUUCGGGUUGUAAACCUCUUUUAGUAGGGAAGAAGCGUAAAAGUGACGGUACCUGCAGAAAAAGCACCGGCUAACUACGUGCCAGCAGCCGCGGUAAUACGUAGGGUGCAAGCGUUGUCCGGAAUUAUUGGGCGUAAAGAGCUCGUAGGCGGUUUGUCGCGUCUGCUGUGAAAACUCGAGGCUCAACCUCGGGCCUGCAGUGGGUACGGGCAGACUAGAGUGCGGUAGGGGAGAUUGGAAUUCCUGGUGUAGCGGUGGAAUGCGCAGAUAUCAGGAGGAACACCAAUGGCGAAGGCAGAUCUCUGGGCCGUAACUGACGCUGAGGAGCGAAAGCAUGGGGAGCGAACAGGAUUAGAUACCCUGGUAGUCCAUGCCGUAAACGUUGGGAACUAGAUGUGGGGACCAUUCCACGGUCUCCGUGUCGCAGCUAACGCAUUAAGUUCCCCGCCUGGGGAGUACGGCCGCAAGGCUAAAACUCAAAGGAAUUGACGGGGGCCCGCACAAGCGGCGGAGCAUGCGGAUUAAUUCGAUGCAACGCGAAGAACCUUACCAAGGCUUGACAUAUAGAUGUGAAACGGUUGGAAACAAUCGCCCCGCAAGGUCUCUAUACAGGUGGUGCAUGGUUGUCGUCAGCUCGUGUCGUGAGAUGUUGGGUUAAGUCCCGCAACGAGCGCAACCCUCGUCCUAUGUUGCCAGCACGUAAUGGUGGGAACUCAUGGGAUACUGCCGGGGUCAACUCGGAGGAAGGUGGGGAUGACGUCAAAUCAUCAUGCCCCUUAUGUCUUGGGCUUCACGCAUGCUACAAUGGCCGGUACAAAGGGCU